UGGAGGAGGUGCCUGAUUGUCCUCACAGGAGCUACAUCAACCCUAUGGAGACUGUGCCCUUGGAACUGGAUUGGCCCUCGAUUUUCGCUUCUCGGCUUGAUACAAGGAAACAGACGAUGGAAAACAAUGUGACGUAUCCACAACCUGGGUGGGAACAAAUGUAUCUUCGGAGAAUCCAAGGAUGGAAUAAAAAAGUGGAUAUCCUGAUGCGUGAUAACAAAAAUAUCUUCAAGGAAAGGCGUAUUUAAGGUUCUUGAUCGACAGUCGUCAUGAUGCAUUUGCUGGUUGGGUUGAUGCUAAGGUUGGAUCCUUAAUUAGCUUGAACAGGG